CGGCGAGUAGCGCAGCUUGGUAGCGCAACUGGUUUGGGACCAGUGGCGCUUCGGCGGGGUUUUUUGUUUUCUGCUGCCGUCCGCCA
rnacentral:tRNA from 1 species